CACGCCCUAAACGAUGUCUACUAGUUGUCGGGGAUUCGUUUCCUUGGUAACGCAGCUAACGCGUGAAGUAGACCGCCUGGGGAGUACGGCCGCAAGGUUAAAACUCAAAGGAAUUGACGGGGACCCGCACAAGCGGUGGAUGAUGUGGAUUAAUUCGAUGCAACGCGAAAAACCUUACCUACGCUUGACAUGCCAGAAACCCCGCAGAGAUGUGGGGGUGCCCGAAAGGGAAUCUGGACACAGGUGC
rnacentral:rRNA from 2 species